GACGAACGCUGGCGGCGUGCUUAACACAUGCAAGUCGAACGAGAGACGGUGAAAAGCUUGCUUUUAAUCGAAUUGAGUGGCAAACGGGUGAGUAACGCGUAAACAACCUGCCCCUGGGAUGGGGACAACAGCUGGAAACGGCUGCUAAUACCGAAUGAGCUCCACGUGCCGCAUGGCAGGAGGAGGAAAGGGUGGCCUCUGGAACAAGCUACCGCCGAGGGAGAGGUUUGCGUCUGAUUAGCUGGUUGGUGAGGUAAGGGCUCACCAAGGCGACGAUCAGUAGCCGGUCUGAGAGGAUGAACGGCCACAUUGGAACUGAGAGACGGUCCAGACUCCUACGGGAGGCAGCAGUGGGGAAUCUUCCGCAAUGGGCGAAAGCCUGACGGAGCAACGCCGCGUGAGUGAAGACGGCCUUCGGGUUGUAAAGCUCUGUUACACGGGACGAACGGGUUUUGUGCGAACAGCAUAAG
rnacentral:rRNA from 1 species